rnacentral:rRNA from 1 species
UACGUAGGCAGCGAGCGUUGUUCGGAUUUACUGGGCGUAAAGAGUGCGUAGGCGGUUUUCUAAGUUUGGUGUGAAAUCUCCCGGCUUAACUGGGAGGGUGCGCCGAAGACUGGAAGGCUUGAGUAUGGGAGAGGUAAGCGGAAUUCCUGGUGUAGCGGUGAAAUUCGUAGAUAUCGGGAGGAAUACCAGUUGCGAAGGCGGCGACCUGGGCCAAUACUGACGCUGAGGUGCGAAAGCGUGGGGAGCAAACAGG